rnacentral:rRNA from 2 species
UACGGAGGGUGCAAGCGUUAUCCGGAUUUAUUGGGUUUAAAGGGUCCGUAGGCGGAUCUGUAAGUCAGUGGUGAAAUCUCACAGCUUAACUGUGAAACUGCCAUUGAUACUGCAGGUCUUGAGUAAAGUAGAAGUGGCUGGAAUAAGUAGUGUAGCGGUGAAAUGCAUAGAUAUUACUUAGAACACCAAUUGCGAAGGCAGGUCACUAUGUUUUAACUGACGCUGAUGGACGAAAGCGUGGGGAGCGAACAGG